AUUUUUCAGCAGACUGAGUCUGAAAGCCUCUCAGAAGGGGUUAUUUGGUGAAACUUGGUUUAAGUAAAAAUAAAAUGUUCAUAACCUAUCAAACUCAAUUUUUUCCCAAUAUUCACCAACAUCCAGGGACUUUUAAAUGGUUCUCUUUGCCUCGUUUACUCUGCAAAUAUAUAGUGAGCACUUACUCCAUAUCAGGCACAGCAUACGCACGUUCAGAAAAAUCGAGGCCAGGGGAAGAAGAGAGAAAAAUCUCUUUUUGCAAUAUUUAGACUACAGCUACAGAUGUCAGAUAAAUCUGCUUAAAAUUGUCUUCUUUUAAUUAAUUCAUCAUUAAAAAUUUCAUACUGAUGUUUUCUAAGUUAGUGACUAGAGCUUUUUAUUAAUUUAUUUGAAAUGCUUUAUGUGUUUAAUGUCUAAUGAGAUUUCAAGCAAUCACACCAGCCAGAUGAUAUUUUUCAGUUUGUCAUUACUUUAUCAAAGAAACACAGUCUUUGCUCUUUUGUAAAAACUUCUGCAUUCCCACAACCUUCAGGAUAAGAAAAAUGGAUUACGGGCCAGGCAAAAUUUGACCAUUAAGCGUCCUUCAAGGAAUCCACAAGAUGCUGCAAAGAACAUAUCUUAAUGGUGUGAUGAGUCCUUAAACACUUUCUUCAGUUUCUUCUCUGACCUUUUCAGAUUGUGAUAAAUUCUGAUGGUUUAUAUAUUUUUUUUUACAAGGAGACAUUUCCAUCCGGAGAAAAAUAAGCAAGAAGGAAGAUAAUUGACUCGAAGAAGAAAUCUUUCAUCAAAACCUGCAAAUGUGUUGUGGCAAGGAUAACUCAGAUAAACUGACAUGCCACACAGAAGAGGUUAUAUGACAGCUUCCAAACGCAAAACAAAUGUCAAAAAUGGCUGAGCCAAAAUGUUAAAUUGUCAAGGGAACGAUUUUGCUCUACGCAUUUUAACCACGGGGAAAGCAAGUGCUUCAACAAUCACUGGUUGAUAACAUCAACUUAAACUAUUAAUUGUAAGCUACAAGAGUGGUAGGAGUUUCAACAGUUGAUGGCUAGGAAAUUUAUUACAAUUUUGCAGUGGGCAUGGAAGAUAUUGGGUAUAGGUGAAUCAGAGUAAUUUCAGGCUCAGGUUACUCUAAAAAUGCCUACCACGUGACACUUAAUACAUCACGCCAAAUUCCUCUAACCCCCGCACACAGAAACGAGCAUUGUUAACAGUCAGUGAAAAGUGAGCUUGCCUGGAUCCACAGAAAACUCAAAUCCUAUUCUAAGUCAGUGAUUCUUCUGAAGUGUGGUCCUUAGAGCAGCAGUAGCAAUAUCAUCUGGGAACUUGUUAGAAGUUCCCAGAAUCACCUGGGAACUCAGGCUGCACCUGGGACUUUUCGAAUCAGAGAAUCUGGGGUGGGCGCAACAAUCACCUCCAGAUGAUUCUGGUGCAUGCUAGAGUUUGAGAACUACCAUCUUGGGAAUGUGAGAAGGAGCCAAACAGAAAGCAAGAAUACGAUUCAGCGUUUCCAACGGAGACUGUGUCUGGGGUGUAGUCCUUCAAGAUUCUAAAAUGGAAUCCUGAGGUAUUUAUCACGAUCCCUCUUCGUUGGCAAGUCAAAGCUCCAGUUUUGAUCUCUUAAGCUAGCUUCCUUUUUAUCAAGGGUCAGAUUUGGAAAUCUGGCCCCAAAUUUUUUAUAGGUCAGGUCCAGACAGGGGGAGAAAGAAGAAAUUUAAGCUCUUUUCUGGCUAAUUGGUGUAGGAAGAGAAAGAGAGCUGGAGAGGUGGAAGCAAGGGAAGCUAUAGUAGUUUCUUCCAAUUUCCCCUGUCUGUCUUAGGGCAGCCUUGAGAACAAGGGUCUCUUGCCCACUCCUUAUGUAGGAGUCUGACUAAAACGGCACCUUGCAAGGGCAUUGUCACUGCAAAGUUAUCUUGGAAGUGUGGUGUUUCUAGAAAGAGAGAAAUCCUGAGGUACAUAUUUCCCUCACAGCCCCUUGCUUCCCUAUAUCCUUUAUGGGACUCCAAAGUAGGCGAGGAGCUUGUCAGUAGGGAGUAGUAUUCAUGGCAAAGAAUACU
rnacentral:lncRNA from 1 species